CCGGAGCUUGCGUCCACCGGAAAAAGAGGAGUGGCGAACGGGUGAGUAACACGUGGGUAACCUGCCCAUCAGAAGGGGAUAACACUUGGAAACAGGUGCUAAUACCGUAUAACAAUCGAAACCGCAUGGUUUUGAUUUGAAAGGCGCUUUCGGGUGUCGCUGAUGGAUGGACCCGCGGUGCAUUAGCUAGUUGGUGAGGUAACGGCUCACCAAGGCCACGAUGCAUAGCCGACCUGAGAGGGUGAUCGGCCACAUUGGGACUGAGACACGGCCCAAACUCCUACGGGAGGCAGCAGUAGGGAAUCUUCGGCAAUGGACGAAAGUCUGACCGAGCAACGCCGCGUGAGUGAAGAAGGUUUUCGGAUCGUAAAACUCUGUUGUUAGAGAAGAACAAGGAUGAGAGUAACUGUUCAUCCCUUGACGGUAUCUAACCAGAAAGCCACGGCUAACUACGUGCCAGCAGCCGCGGUAAUACGUANGUGGCAAGCGUUGUCCGGAUUUAUUGGGCGUA
rnacentral:rRNA from 1 species